GUGGGGAAUAUUGGACAAUGGGCGAAAGCCUGAUCCAGCCAUGCCGCGUGUGUGAAGAAGGUCUUCGGAUUGUAAAGCACUUUAAGUUGGGAGGAAGGGCAUUAACCUAAUACGUUAGUGUUUUGACGUUACCGACAGAAUAAGCACCGGCUAACUUCGUGCCAGCAGCCGCGGUAAUACGAAGGGUGCAAGCGUUAAUCGGAAUUACUGGGCGUAAAGCGCGCGUAGGUGGUUCGUUAAGUUGGAUGUGAAAGCCCCGGGCUCAACCUGGGAACUGCAUCCAAAACUGGCGAGCUAGAGUACGGUAGAGGGUGGUGGAAUUUCCUGUGUAGCGGUGAAAUGCGUAGAUAUAGGAAGGAACACCAGUGGCGAAGGCGACUACCUGGACUGAUACUGACACUGAGGUGCGAAAGCGUGGGGAGCAAACAGGAUUAGAAACCCCGGUAGUCC
rnacentral:rRNA from 1 species